GCGCCGGUGGUGUAAGGCGAACAUCGCUGCCCGGAAAGCAGGAGAUACGGGUUCGAGUCCCGCCUGGCGCA
rnacentral:tRNA from 1 species